GGCCGCCUGGCGUAAUGGCAACGCGUCUGACUACGAUAUCCCCCUCUGUCUCCACAGUGAGAGGCCCGUAAUCAGGAGAUUGCAGGUUCGACCCCUGCGGUGGUCA